AUUGCUUCUCAGCCUUUUGGCUAAGAUCAAGUGUAGAAUCUGUUCUUACCAGUUUAAUAUCUGAUAUGUCCUCUAUCCAAGGACAAUAUAUUAAAUGGAUUUUUGGAGAAAGGAAUUGGAAUAGAACUUGCUCUGUCCACUCCACUCAUCAGCCUGGUGUUGUAUUACCUCCAAGAAUGGUGCACCCCUC